rnacentral:rRNA from 1 species
UGGGGAAUCUUGCGCAAUGCGCGAAAGCGUGACGCAGCAACGCCGCGUGGGGGAAGAAGGCCUUCGGGUUGUAAACCCCUUUCAGGAGGGACGAAGGCACGGCGGCGAACAGCCGGCCGUGCUGACGGUACCUCCACAAGAAGCCCCGGCUAACUACGUGCCAGCAGCCGCGGUAAUACGUAGGGGGCUAGCGUUGUCCGGAAUCAUUGGGCGUAAAGCGCACGUAGGCGGCCCGGUAAGUCCGCUGUGAAAGUCAAAGGCUCAACCUUUGAACGCCGGUGGAUACUGUCGGGCUAGAGUCCGGAAGAGGCGAGUGGAAUUCCUGGUGUAGCGGUGGAAUGCGCAGAUAUCAGGAGGAACACCUAUAGCGAAGGCAGCUCGCUGGGACGGUACUGACGCUCAGGUGCGAAAGCGUGGGGAGCGAACAGGAUUAGAUACCCCCGUAGUCC